rnacentral:rRNA from 1 species
CAGUCGAGCGAGCGGAACCACAGAUUUACUUCGGUAAUGACGUUGGGAAAGCGAGCGGCGGAUGGGUGAGUAACACGUGGGGAACCUGCCCCUAAGUCUGGGAUACCAUUUGGAAACAGGUGCUAAUACCGGAUAAUAAAGCAGAUCGCAUGAUCAGCUUUUGAAAGGCGGCGUAAGCUGUCGCUAAGGGAUGGCCCCGCGGUGCAUUAGCUAGUUGGUAAGGUAACGGCUUACCAAGGCGACGAUGCAUAGCCGAGUUGAGAGACUGAUCGGCCACAUUGGGACUGAGACACGGCCCAAACUCCUACGGGAGGCAGCAGUAGGGAAUCUUCCACAAUGGACGCAAGUCUGAUGGAGCAACGCCGCGUGAGUGAAGAAGGUUUUCGGAUCGUAAAGCUCUGUUGUUGGUGAAGAAGGAUAGAGGUAGUAACUGGCCUUUAUUUGACGGUAAUCAACCAGAAAGUCACGGCUAACUACGUGCCAGCAGCCGCGGUAAUACGUAGGUGGCAAGCGUUGUCCGGAUUUAUUGGGCGUAAAGCGAGCGCAGGCGGAAAAAUAAGUCUAAUGUGAAAGCCCUCGGCUUAACCGAGGAACUGCAUCGGAAACUGUUUUUCUUGAGUGCAGAAGAGGAGAGUGGAACUCCAUGUGUAGCGGUGGAAUGCGUAGAUAUAUGGAAGAACACCAGUGGCGAAGGCGGCUCUCUGGUCUGCAACUGACGCUGAGGCUCGAAAGCAUGGGUAGCGAACAGGAUUAGAUACCCUGGUAGUCCAUGCCGUAAACGAUGAGUGCUAAGUGUUGGGAGGUUUCCGCCUCUCAGUGCUGCAGCUAACGCAUUAAGCACUCCGCCUGGAGAGUACGACCGCAAGGUUGAAACUCAUAGGAAUUGACGGGGGCCCGCACAAGCGGUGGAGCAUGUGGUUUAAU